CAAUUAAUCCCGGUGAAAAUGAAGCACUGAUUGGGUAUGCUUUGGACACUUACAAGUUCCUCUCUCUAGCCCCUCAGCAUGCAAGAGUCGGAGGUCCAGGCCUUGUUGCUUCUUUUGAAUAUAGCGCUGGAUACAUCGCGAAUGUACUUCGGUCCAAGCAUAUCUUUUUGUCAAAUAUUUUCCAAUCCUAUUUCCGAGUUGGUUGAUAUAUCAUUUCUGUUAAAGGACGAGAUUGUAAGGUACAUUUAAUGAUCUGAGGCAAGUCUGUAGAUCUUGUAGCCUAUCUUAGGAUGGUCCAUCUUGUUGAAUUUACAAAAUAUUGGUAGUCUUUGUCCUUCUAAUCUCUUAUGCUUUUUUGUU